CCUCCUUCCACCCCCCCGCAGUCGAUCCCGCCUCCGUCGACCCAUCCCGCUACCCCUCCUGGGUCCUCCUCGACAGCAGAGCCUACUUCGACGACCCCGUCAACGGCACCACCGUGAAGGCCACGACGAGCACGGGCCACAACUUCGAGGUCACUUUUUGUCUCGCCCACCCGCCUGCCGUCUCCUACUUGUACGUCCACUUUCCCGGAAUCAACGUACUAGAGUGUUGCACCACGGAGCCCCGCGUCAUUUCCUCCGCCAAUGACCUCGCGCUCCUAUGCUUCCCCUUCAGAACUGGCACAUCGAGCACCUACGACUACUUCGUCUACAGGGCUGCCUCCGGCAAGCCCACCAUCAGAUCGGUCCCGUGUCCUCCUCCAACCUACAGGCACUCAUGGCACGCAGCCAUCGUAUCCCGCGAGGAAGGCAGUUUUUUGGUCGCUGAUCUUUCCCUGGGUCGGGACCUUGGGCACUACAACCUGCACAUCUUCUCGUCGGAGACAGACGAGUGGAGCACCAAACAUGUGCAGCUGAAGGAGCCUCCUGGUAUCCUGCCAAAGCUAAUUCACAAGGUGAUCUCUCUUGGAGAAGGCACAAUAGGAUGGGUCGACCUCUGGCGCGGCAUUGUUGUCUGUGAUGUGCUUCAGAAGGAUCCUGUUCUCCGCUUCAUCCCGCUGCCCAGACCGCUGCCCAAGGCUGAUUAUGACGAGCCCCCGAAAAGCCAAGCAUUGGCCGAUUAUGACGCAGCACGGUCCGUGCGGGACGUUGCCGGCUUCCCCAAUGGUUUCGUCGACUUCAUCGAGAUCGAACAUUGUUUCAAAUGGUCUAAGUUUAUCAACAUGAGGAGUUUCAAGACGACGGCCUAUCUUGAUUUCCUAGAUACCAUCAGUGAUAAUGACCUCCUUAGGCAUCAUGAAGAGGACAUUAUGGAGGAUAAAAUUGAGUGUGCACCUGAUGGCUGGAAGAUCCGAACAGGCUUUAGGAACAUUUCUUGGAACCAUUGGAGAAAAGGGUACAAUUUCCAUGUUGAUGACAUAUCAGCCGAACCACAACUUGCUCUGGAGCUACUUCACCUGUGGGAUAGUACAAGUGAGAAAUGCAGAGUGACAAACCUGAAGACUACACCAGGCUUCCCGACCUUCACCAUUUAUGAUUGUGCUGUUGUCCUCAUGUCUAAGGUGGGUGCCGACCAAGUCACAUGGAUGCUUGGUGUAAAUCUUGGGAAUAAGUCGCUGGAAGUCAUCAAGCCAUACCGUGCCUUGAGAGUCGAUUAUUACAAUCCGACCUUCAUUUCCUGUGAAUUCUCCAAAUAUCUGAAUACCGCUCCAAUUCAAAGGCCAUGUGAUGAGGAAGUUGCAGCAGAGUCUGCUCCGAAUGAGGAAGUUGCGGCAGAGUCUGCGCAGAAUGGUGUGCCUAAUGAUCAACUUCCAUUGGGGGAUACUGUUCCAAACAAUGUGGUAUAGGACGGGUAGAUGUCGCGAAAGGAAUACUCAUGGUUUCUGAAGACUGACUAUGCCUGAGUACUACACAGCAACAAACUCAGUUUAUAAAGUGCAAGAUUUUGUAGAAGUUCAAUUUUUUAAAAAGAGGGCUCAGACAUGGCGACAAGAAUGAAGGUGGAGGGGAAGGAGUGGAGAGAAAGAUGUCUGUCUCCACAUGGUUCAUGUGCCUAUCACCCAUUAACAAGAUCUCAGUUAUCUGCAUGGUUCUCUAAUUAGUAUGUUUUCCCGGACGAAGAGAAGACUGAUCCUUAAAAAAAAAUUCUGGACGACGAUUUCAGCGGCGUUUCUGUUUUGGCGGUGUUAAAACAAUCUGGAAUAUAAAGGAUUCUGGAGGAGUCUGGAUGGCAAACCUAGGGAGUUCGGGCACCCUGUCGGAGAGGAAGAAGACGGUAGGCGGGCCCAGGAGAUGACGCAGCAACAGCCGUCGAGCGUUUGGACGCCCUGGUUGUGGUUCGGCAUGCGAGGCGAUCAGCAGAGGGUGCAGCUCCGACAGCUCGCGUGCGGACGAUGUGGCCGGACGAACUGGCGUCUGUUUUUGGCGGCAUUCGUUCGCGUGUGGAUGGAGCUCGUACGCCAGGAAGAACUGGCGUCUUGAUGGAGCUCGUACGUCAGGAAGAACUGGCGUCUUGAUGGAGCUCGUACGCCAGGAAGAACUGGCGUUCGUUGGCGGGUCGAAGAAGUUUGAUUUUUGGUCGAUGGACCUCGUCCUCGUUCGUGGCGAUCGUGGGGUUCCAUGGACUUCUUGUUCGUGUGUUCUCAUACGUGGGCUGAGUUGGUGGGCGCUGAGUUCGUGUGUUGAACUGUGGAUCUGGAUCUCGUACGUGGGCUGAGUUGGUGAUUUUGUGUACGUGGGCUGAGUUGGUGGGCUGCUGCGUGCGUGUGGGAGAUCGAAGGGAGGGGGGAUCGAAGGAGGUUGAACCAUCACGACGUUCGAUCCCCCUUUAAUAGUAGAGAUAAACGUGUCCAUUCUGCCAUCUGUUAAAUAAGAUUUAGGUGAACCCUUGUACAGCAACCCCAGCAAUACAAGUGGAAUGGGGGUGUUCCCAUUAGGACUUCUAAUGAAUAUGGUUUUGGCGAAUACCACGACGACUAUCAGCAGCAACCCAGUCUGACACAAACUGGGCAGCACACGUCGUCUUCAACUUCAACUCAAUUAGGUAAAGACAUUAUCAAUGCUUAUAUGGAUCCCAUGCUUAUAAUAUGGUGCUGUUCUUUUAUCCUAGUUCUUCUUGACUCGCGAUAUUUAACUCUAAAAUGUUUGAAAUUUUGAACAUUAACAUUUGAUAUCAUGAUUCCAGAAUAAUGUGCGACUUGGGCCACCAUGUUGCCUUUCUUGCAGUAUAUGGCAGCUGUGGUUAGGAAGCAAAUGUCUGUUGAAUUUAUGUUCUUGCAUCUCUUUGUGAGGUUUUAUAUUUAACGGAACUGAAUUGGAUAAUAAUUAAUCAUUAUUUGUAAUUCAGAGACCACAAGUUGCUCUCCUGUUGACAACUUGCAACAUUAUCAAUAGGGAUACUAUUUGUAGUGAACUGCAUCCUGUACUGAAGCCCAG
rnacentral:rRNA from 1 species